GUGAUCCCUGUGGGAUGCCGGCCAUGCCCGGCCCUCGGGGCAGCUGUCUGGGAAGAUCCCCGAGCCAGGCUUUAAAGCAGGCUGCUCUGGGCUUUGUACCCGGCCAGAGCCUUCCGUGGUGGCUGGAGUGGGCACAUCCCGACAAGUUCCCAAGUCAUGCAGAAAUACAAACCUUCCUCCUUGUUGCUGCCCACUGGCUGAUUCUGGUUUUUGUCCAUGUCACCUGCUCCUGGAGAUUAUUUCUUAGCUAAUGCUGAGAUUUUCUAGAGGUGUCUGGUAAAGGACUUUAUGGACAAUAUUGUUCCCAGCUUUAGGCCAGGAAGGACCAAAGAGACACCCUGGAUUGGCUUAUCAGUUUGGCAGCAGGGUGAGGGGAACAGCACAGGAAUCCCACAGGGAGCCGCUCGCCUGCCAGUAGAGGCCGUGCUGGUUUCGGGCCGCUGAGUGGAAAGGCGGAAGCAAACACGGAUGGCUCAUGAUUCAUCCCCAGGCCGGGCUGUUUUUAGCCGGUUUCAAUUACUCGGAGCUGCCAGGCAUUGUUCUGGGAGCUGAAUAGCACCCGGGCCGGCAGGAAAGGUCUGCGUCCUGCUCCACCCCCGAUCAAACGAGUGCCAGGAUGUCUGCAGGAGCAGCCAAAGCGCCGAGAAACCUUUCCCCUCCCCUUGGGCUUGGGCUGAGUGGGUGUCAAUAAACAAGGGGGAAUCAGCUGGUGAUCUAAAGGAGAGGUUAUUAAAGAAAUUCAGGGGGACAAUACCGAUUUUCUUCUGCUGGCAUCUGGCCAUCUUUGUCAGGAACCUUGCUGAAGAGAAACUGGCUUAUUUGAUCUGUAAUAUAAAGUCAACCCAGCCAAACUCCCACCCAAACUCACUCAAGGCUGGCAAAGAAUAACAAAGAUAUUUUCUUGCUGAUUUGAGACCUCAGGAUUCUUUCAAACUUGGGUUUUUCCAGCAAAGACAAUGCAUUCCUCUGCACCCAUAGAUGCAACGAUUCAGCAGUAAUCUCCAUUUCUAUGACAUGAACUAGAGCUUCCUUAUGAUGAUCAGAUUUGAAAGCAGUGUACUUCUGAUACAUGAGAAGUUACCUUUGUGGUGAGAAUAUUUUUUGCACAGAACUGGAUCCAUCCUGAACACCAGCAUGUAUUCAGAGUUUUAAUAAGCCCCUGACUGCAGUGACCUGUAGUUAUCCAGCAUCUUUGGCACUUCAGUUUGUUACUUCUUUCUGCCCUGAAGGGUUUCAAGCUACCAGCCAGACACUCAGCUCUCUAGGAUGAAACCUGAAGCCUGGAGGUGCACCAUAUGUUCUUGCACAGCAUCUGCACUAUCUUCAGCAUCAAAUUUCAGUCUCGCAAUGCAAAUGUUUGGGAUGGAUGAGACGUCAGCAAAUGCAGGGCUUGGCCUAACCUAUUUGUUCCCUGACUGUUAACAAUAUUAAUUAGUCUUUGUACAAACUGCUCAGGGCUCUGUUUGGGCUGCCUAACCCUUCUUUGAAAGGUGUUUGCAGGUGUCUGUCCUUCUCUUCUCAAGGCUUGUUAACCUUUUCCUUUCCCCCGAGGUCAGGAUUUCCACAACUUUCUCUCUGUUCUCAUCUUCAUUCUUUGGGCCACAUUUCUUUGAAGCUCAACACUGAUCCAAAGCUCCAGCAUGGGCUUGGCUGUGCUUAGGCAGAGCUGGUGUGGUAGUCCAGGCUGUGAUCCUGUUACACGCCCUGGAACAGGAUCUGCCUUACUCACAGCAGAGGACUCCUGCUUCUGACUGUUACUGCCUGUAACUUCUUGGUCCUGCUCCUUCACCUACCGCUUCCCACCAGCAGAAGUGCAGGUAAUUGCUCCUAUCUAGAUUCAUUCUUUCCAGCCUCUAUAUUUUCCAGACUCUCUCAAUUUUUCUGAUGUUGCUGUGAAUUUCAGCCCUGCAGUUUUCCAUUUUCCCAGACCUUCUUCUCCAGCUAAGGCCUGCAUAUUUUCUCUGUUGUGACAUUUUAUGUCACUGAUCCGUUACUUAUGGCUCUGGAAUUACAGUAGGCUCCCAAGGAAGGCAGUCAUUCAGCUGGACACUGCUCUGGUGAUGCCUCCAUAAGCAGGUUCAAGCUCAGCCGUGUUGCUUUAACUUCUUUAUAAAGUCUCUUGUGAGAAGACUUGCCUGAAGGCUACACACUUCCCAUUGCUCCUCCAGAUCAUCACUGCACCAUUACUGAAUAUUUCCUAAUAAAGGUAGCUGCCACUUUUUCUUCCUCACUUUGGAGAACCACCUGAAAAUAUGACACCCAUGGCAGCUGACAAAUGAAAUAUGUAAGGCAGGGUUAAGGAAGAACAGAGGGAAAACUGGAAUGACAAGUAUUUUAACGUCGGCAUGGAAGUGCUGAGUUGGGUGUGUUGUCCAGUGCUGGCAGCUGGGCUGUUUGAGUCCUUUUGCCACUUGUUUGCACAGCUGGACCGAGUGGCAGGAUUUAUUAGCUCAGGGAAAAGGUCAAACACAGAAACUGCACUUCUCCUUUCUGGCCACACGAUGUGCCCAUCACACCACGAACCCAGCCCGCCAGCAGCUGCAGACGUAGCCACAAAGGCAGCGGGUUCCAGGGGUUUGUAUUCCCUCACAGCACCCCCUUACCUCUAGCCAGGCUCCCUAAAACACUCACACAGCUGCAGACCAGGGCCAGGUGCCGUGGAGCAGAAGGUGGAUGGGAUGGAGUUGGUGUGGUCCAGAUGCUCUGCCUUGGAGGAAGGUGACAAGCUGCUGUGAAAGAAAUAGGAGCCAAGUGGUCAAGAGGCAGUGGCAGCUCUUCAUCAAUGUGAAUUAUAAUGGCCAGUGAAUAACUGGAAUUAAGUUUACUUCCUAAAUGUGAGAUUUACUUCUGUUUCGUUGGGAAAAUGUGAGCAAGUUCUUUUUCAUUCUAACUGCUGGGAUGUCUUGGGCCCCUGUCAUUUGUGUGUUCUCUGAGCAGAACUAAGAGCUGGCAUCUGCAGGAACCAGUCAUCAGCACAGAGAUUUGUAAAAGAAAUAUUGGCAUUAGCACAGAUUAAAAUCUUUUUAUGUAAGUGCCAGAAGAAAUAGAACUCGGGAACUAAAAAUGGUUUAAAUUUAUAACAAAUGACACCAGAAAAAAGUUUGGGACUGAUAAUUUGAGCCAUUGCUAAGACCACAGGACACACAACUCACUUGAGGGAGAGCCUCCUCCCCUGACAGCAGAGGAUAGACAUCUCCCAUUUGCCUCCCUUGCAGCCAGGCAGGAAGAGAGACUGCAGCAAAGGAUCAUCACAAAACAACUCUUCAUUGUUAAGGACUACUAAACAACUGCCCCAAAACUGGGAUGUUUAGUGGAGAAUUCACAGGCAUCACCCCUUGUGGUGUAUGUUGCACACAAGUGAUUUGGGCUGGACAGAACUUGUUGCAUGACAGUGAAUGAGAUCUGUAAGAGAACCAGGGUGGACGGCUACAAUGAGCAUAAAAUGUAAAUAAAUGCCAUAGUCCCCUUCACAA